UGAGGAAUAUUGGGCAAUGCCCGCAAGGGUGACCCAGCAACGCCGCGUGGAGGAUGAAUGUCGUAAGAUUGUAAACUCCUGUUAGAGGGGAAGAAUAGUACCGGUUGGACCGGUAUAUGACUGUACCCUCAGAGAAAGCCCCGGCUAACUACGUGCCAGCAGCCGCGGUAAUACGUAGGGGGCAAGCGUUGUCCGGAUUUACUGGGUGUAAAGGGCGCGCAGGCGGGAUAAAAAGUCAGUGGUGAAAUCCUACAGCUUAACUGUAGAACUGCCUUUGAUACUUUUAUUCUUGAGUUCGGGAGAGAGAGACGGAAUUCCAGGUGUAGUGGUGAAAUACGUAGAUAUCUGGAAGAACACCAGCUGCGAAGGCGGUCUAUUGGUCCGACACUGACGCUGAGGCGCGAAAGCGUGGGGAGCAAAC
rnacentral:rRNA from 1 species